rnacentral:lncRNA from 1 species
GAAAAGUGAACAGAUUAAAACAAAGCCUCAGUUCAGAACUGAUAUUGAUAUUUAUUCAGUUCUGAAGAGCUUUAUACAGACUCAAAGACAUCACAGAAAUAAACACAAUAAACAAUAAUGUAUAAAGGGCCAUUUAAAGAUAUAUAGAGAGAUAAAUAGAGAUAUACAGAGAAAUGUGGCUGCAGUUCUUUGUUAGUGCUGUGCUUGUUGCUAUGGGGAUUCAGGCAGCUGAUCGGUUACCAGGCAGAAACAGAGGCAGAAUGAAGACAGGAAGGUAAACUGUCAGUAAUAAAGUCAGUGCUGAAUAUAAACAGAUAUAAAAUAAGUUAAAUAGAAUAACUUUGCGUGGUAUCUUUAUAUAUAUAGCAGAUCUGCUGCAGGAGGGCGGCGGCUGCACCAGACUACACUUUCUCUUGGAGACCAAAACCAAACUACCUUCACCACAGAACAGAAACAAUCCAGUGUCUUGCGCAGUCUGAGGAGCAGGAACUGGACUCGGAACAGAGAAGGCCUAGCUGUGAAGGAAAUCACUAACCCUCCAGAAUCCACAGUUUACAUCAGCUCCUACCACACGCAGUACUGCGGCCCUGCCAACUGCCCUGCCAGCAGCCUUCAGACCGGCGCUUCAGGCCAGCCCACACGCUGGCACCAACACAACAUCCUCACAGGUACUUUACAGCACAGAGCUUUUAAUCCAGGCCUGGAUUACUCUGAUCAAAGUCCAGAGUUCUUUACUCUCUGUACUCUCCCCCUGCACACAUAAACCAGAUCACCAAAGCUCAACAGCCCAUAAUAAGCAUUUGUUUAUAUGUAGGUUUCGCUCAUUUACACCCCUCACCCAACUGCAAAUGUAUCUAAUGAACCAAAACCAAAAGAAGACAUAUAAAUCUACACCACCAGUUGCAGUAUACACUCACCUUUAACAGUAAGAAUAAUCUUUAAUACUCUUACUAAUCUGGUUCCUGAGGGGAGCUCUAUAGAUCCUCUUGUAAAAAAAAAAAUAUAUAUAUAUACUUAAAUUAUGCUGAAGUAGGGCUGUAGUUAAGUUGUGUUAUUUUGG